UCGUCACACUAUCGUUAACUGAAUACAUAGGUUAACGAGGCGAACCGGGGGAACUGAAACAUCUAAGUACCCCGAGGAAAAGAAAUCAACCGAGAUUCCCCCAGUAGCGGCGAGCGAACGGGGAGCAGCCCAGAGUCUGAAUCAGCUUGUGUGUUAGUGGAACGGUCUGGAAAGUCCGACGGUACAGGGUGAUAGUCCCGUACACCAAAAUGCACAGGCUGUGAACUCGAAGAGUAGGGCGGGACACGUGGUAUCCUGUCUGAAUAUGGGGGGACCAUCCUCCAAGGCUAAAUACUCCUGACUGACCGAUAGUGAACCAGUACCGUGAGGGAAAGGCGAAAAGAACCCCGGCGAGGGGAGUGAAAAAGAACCUGAAACCGUGUACGUACAAGCAGUGGGAGCACCUUCGGGUGUGACUGCGUACCUUUUGUAUAAUGGGUCAGCGACUUAUAUUCUGUAGCAAGGUUAACCGUAUAGGGGAGCCGCAGGGAAACCGAGUCUUAACUGGGCGUUAAGUUGCAGGGUAUAGACCCGAAACCCGGUGAUCUAGCCAUGGGCAGGUUGAAGGUUGGGUAACACUAACUGGAGGACCGAACCGACUAAUGUUGAAAAAUUAGCGGAUGACUUGUGGCUGGGGGUGAAAGGCCAAUCAAACCGGGAGAUAGCUGGUUCUCCCCGAAAGCUAUUUAGGUAGCGCCUCGUGAACUCAUCUUCGGGGGUAGAGCACUGUUUCGGCUAGGGGGUCAUCCCGACUUACCAACCCGAUGCAAACUACGAAUACCGAAGAAUGUUAUCACGGGAGACACACGGCGGGUGCUAACGUCCGUCGUGAAGAGGGAAACAACCCAGACCGCCAGCUAAGGUCCCAAAGUCAUGGUUAAGUGGGAAACGAUGUGGGAAGGCACAGACAGCCAGGAUGUUGGCUUAGAAGCAGCCAUCAUUUAAAGAAAGCGUAAUAGCUCACUGGUCGAGUCGGCCUGCGCGGAAGAUGUAACGGGGCUAAACCAUGCACCGAAGCUGCGGCAGCGACACUAUGUGUUGUUGGGUAGGGGAGCGUUCUGUAAGCCUGCGAAGGUGUGCUGUGAGGCAUGCUGGAGGUAUCAGAAGUGCGAAUGCUGACAUAAGUAACGAUAAAGCGGGUGAAAAGCCCGCUCGCCGGAAGACCAAGGGUUCCUGUCCAACGUUAAUCGGGGCAGGGUGAGUCGACCCCUAAGGCGAGGCCGAAAGGCGUAGUCGAUGGGAAACAGGUUAAUAUUCCUGUACUUGGUGUUACUGCGAAGGGGGGACGGAGAAGGCUAUGUUAGCCGGGCGACGGUUGUCCCGGUUUAAGCAUGUAGGCUGGUUAUCCAGGCAAAUCCGGAUAAUCAAGGCUGAGGUGUGAUGACGAGGCACUACGGUGCUGAAGUAACAAAUGCCCUGCUUCCAGGAAAAGCCUCUAAGCAUCAGGUAACAUCAAAUCGUACCCCAAACCGACACAGGUGGUCAGGUAGAGAAUACCAAGGCGCUUGAGAGAACUCGGGUGAAGGAACUAGGCAAAAUGGUGCCGUAACUUCGGGAGAAGGCACGCUGGUGUGUAGGUGAAGUCCCUGCGGAUGGAGCUGAGACCAGUCGAAGAUACCAGCUGGCUGCAACUGUUUAUUAAAAACACAGCACUGUGCAAACACGAAAGUGGACGUAUACGGUGUGACGCCUGCCCGGUGCCGGAAGGUUAAUUGAUGGGGUUAUCCGUAAGGAGAAGCUCUUGAUCGAAGCCCCGGUAAACGGCGGCCGUAACUAUAACGGUCCUAAGGUAGCGAAAUUCCUUGUCGGGUAAGUUCCGACCUGCACGAAUGGCGUAAUGAUGGCCAGGCUGUCUCCACCCGAGACUCAGUGAAAUUGAACUCGCUGUGAAGAUGCAGUGUACCCGCGGCAAGACGGAAAGACCCCGUGAACCUUUACUAUAGCUUGACACUGAACAUUGAGCCUUGAUGUGUAGGAUAGGUGGGAGGCUUUGAAGCGUGGACGCCAGUCUGCGUGGAGCCAACCUUGAAAUACCACCCUUUAAUGUUUGAUGUUCUAACGUUGGCCCCUGACCGGGGUUGCGGACAGUGUCUGGUGGGUAGUUUGACUGGGGCGGUCUCCUCCCAAAGCGUAACGGAGGAGCACGAAGGUUAGCUAAUCCUGGUCGGACAUCAGGAGGUUAGUGCAAUGGCAUAAGCUAGCUUGACUGCGAGCGUGACGGCGCGAGCAGGUGCGAAAGCAGGUCAUAGUGAUCCGGUGGUUCUGAAUGGAAGGGCCAUCGCUCAACGGAUAAAAGGUACUCCGGGGAUAACAGGCUGAUACCGCCCAAGAGUUCAUAUCGACGGCGGUGUUUGGCACCUCGAUGUCGGCUCAUCACAUCCUGGGGCUGAAGUAGGUCCCAAGGGUAUGGCUGUUCGCCAUUUAAAGUGGUACGCGAGCUGGGUUUAGAACGUCGUGAGACAGUUCGGUCCCUAUCUGCCGUGGGCGCUGGAGAAUUGAGGGGGGCUGCUCCUAGUACGAGAGGACCGGAGUGGACGCAUCACUGGUGUUCGGGUUGUCAUGCCAAUGGCACUGCCCGGUAGCUAAAUGCGGAAGAGAUAAGUGCUGAAAGCAUCUAAGCACGAAACUUGCCCCGAGAUGAGUUCUCCCUGAGACUUUAAGUCUCCUGAAGGAACGUUGAAGACGACGACGUUGAUAGGCCGGGUGUGUAAGCGCAGCGAUGCGUUGAGCUAACCGGUACUAAUGAACCGUGAGGCUUAACCUU
rnacentral:rRNA from 1 species